AUCAUACAUUUCUGACAUGUUCU
rnacentral:snRNA from 1 species